CAAUUAAGAGCCCAUGGAUAACCAUGGAUACAAAGGGUGCUAACACCUUCCCUUUGUAUAAUGUACCUCCCGAACCCAAAAUCUAAUCAAGGUCUUUUCUGUUCUUUUCCGCCUUUCCUUAUUGGAUAAAAGAAAAGUCGGUGGCGACUCUUGCUAUCCGCGACAUUUGCUUUCCGAAGCAAAAACACAUAAAGUCAGUUCACCGUAUGACAGAACUGGC
rnacentral:lncRNA from 1 species